rnacentral:sRNA from 1 species
GCCGGGCGUGGUGGCUCACGCCUGUAAUCCCAGCACUUUGGGAGGCUGAGGCAGAUGGAUCACCUGAGGUCAGGAGUUCAAGACCAGCCUGACCAACAUGGAGAAACCCUGUCUCUA